GGGGCUGUGGCUCAGUGGCAAAGCAUCUGCUUGGCACGUGAGAAGGUCUCCGGUUCAGUCCCCAGCAUCUCCA
rnacentral:tRNA from 1 species